rnacentral:rRNA from 1 species
CUCCACUUUGCUGUAAAAAGCAGUUCUCACUUCUCUAGUUAAUCACCACAGACCACACAGCUUAUUUUAAUUGAUGCUGCUGAAAAAAUGCAUUACAAUUUCAUCCGAUGCAUAUGUAAGACAGAGAGCUAAGAAUUAACUCACAGUAUUUUUAUUCCACACAUCAAUUAAUCCUCAUCUGUAGUAUAGCCUAAGUAACUAGCUAGUCGAUCCAACCGGCCAUGAAAGAAACUGCUUGUGUUGAUGUCGAAGACAUUUGCCAAAGGUUCGAAAUUGCCCUGUAGGGGACUGAAAAAUCAGCUAGCUGGAGCAGCAGCCAUGCAUGCACCUGCUAGCUCCUGCAUCUGCAUGCAUGCCUGAAUCUGCAGGACUCGACAGCAUGCAGAGGUGGUGUCGUCUCGGAGUUGCCCGGCGGUACUGCGGAACAGAUCGAUCGGCCACCGCCUCAGAUCCGUCCCAGCGAAUGCACCGGCGCCGCCGCAAGCAUGCUGGGUCACAUGGCCAUGGCACGCCGGCCGGCCGGCAGCUGUAUCUUUAUCUUGGGCCGGAGGUGUGCGUGUGUGUGUGUGUGUGAC